UACGAAGGGGGCUAGCGUUGCUCGGAAUUACUGGGCGUAAAGCGCACGUAGGCGGCUUCUUAAGUCGGUGGUGAAAUCCUGGAGCUCAACUCCAGAACUGCCUUUGAUACUGGCGACCUUGAGUUCGGGAGAGGUGAGUGGAACUGCGAGUGUAGAGGUGAAAUUCGUAGAUAUUCGCAAGAACACCAGUGGCGAAGGCGGCUCACUGGCCCGAUACUGACGCUGAGGUGCGAAAGCGUGGGGAGCAAGCAGG
rnacentral:rRNA from 1 species